AACGAACGCUGGCGGCAGGCCUAACACAUGCAAGUCGAGCGCUCACUUCGGUGGGAACGGCGGACGGGUUAGUAACGCGUGGGAAUAUGCCCGGUACUAAGGAAUAGCCUUUGGAAACGAAGAGUAAUACCUUAUACGCCCUUCGGGGGAAAGAUUUAUCGGUAUCGGAUUAGCCCGCGUAAGAUUAGAUAGUUGGUGAGGUAAUGGCUCACCAAGGCUACGAUCUUUAGCUGGUCUGAGAGGACGAUCAGCCACAUUGGGACUGAGACACGGCCCAGACUCCUACGGGAGGCAGCAGUGGGGAAUCUUAGACAAUGGGCGCAAGCCUGAUCUAGCCAUGCCGCGUGAGUGAAGAAGGCCUUAGGGUCGUAAAACUCUUUCGCCAGAGAUGAUAAUGACAGUAUCUGGUAAAGAAACCCCGGCUAACUCCGUGCCAGCAGCCGCGGUAAUACGGAGGGGGUUAGCGUUGUUCGGAAUUACUGGGCGUAAAGCGCACGUAGGCGGACUGGAAAGUUGGGGGUGAAAUCCCGGGGCUCAACCUCGGAACUGCCUCCAAAACUAUCAGUCUAGAGUUCGAGAGAGGUGAGUGGAAUUCCAAGUGUAGAGGUGAAAUUCGUAGAUAUUUGGAGGAACACCAGUGGCGAAGGCGGCUCACUGGCUCGAUACUGACGCUGAGGUGCGAAAGUGUGGGGAGCAAACAGGAUUAGAUACCCUGGUAGUCCACACCGUAAACGAUGAAUGCCAGUCGUCGGCAAGUAUACUUGUCGGUGACACACCUAACGGAUUAAGCAUUCCGCCUGGGGAGUACGGUCGCAAGAUUA
rnacentral:rRNA from 1 species